rnacentral:rRNA from 1 species
GUAGGGGGCGAGCGUUGUCCGGAAUGACUGGGCGUAAAGGGUGUGUAGGUGGUUUGAUAAGUUAGAUGUGUAAUACCCGGGCUUAACUAGGGUGCUGCAUCUAAAACUGUUAGACUUGAGUACUGGAGAGGAUAGUGGAAUUCCUAGUGUAGCGGUGGAAUGCGUAGAUAUUAGGAGGAACAUCAGUGGCGAAGGCGACUAUCUGGACAGCAACUGACACUGAGGCACGAAAGCGUGGGGAGCAAACAGGAUUAGAUACCCUGGUAGUCCACGCUGUAAACGAUGGAUACUAGAUGCAGGAGGUAUUCACUCCUUCUGUGUCGCAGCUAACGCAAUAAGUAUCCCGCCUGGGGAGU